GCCAUGGUGAGACCAAAUUCAAUGGUCAGGUUAGGAAAGAAAUAUGAGGUCCUUAUGUCCUGUGAGGAAGGAGCAAGUUUAACAGCUCAGGCUCUAUUAUUAUACAAUUCAAAUCAAGCCACAUAUUCACUCAACUUCAAUGUACAAAGAUAUGAUGGUGCUGUAAAAUUUAGAGUUCAAGUCUUAAUUGUAGCCAAAUAAGUGCUAUUAUUAUGAUGUAUAAAGCAUAUUCCUUGUUAAUUUAUUAUAAUUAAUGUGAUGAGCUUAUCAACAGAUCUGCAUUUAU
rnacentral:misc_RNA from 1 species